rnacentral:rRNA from 1 species
CAAAAAACAAGCGGUGAGUGCUUUGGGGUGGGGUGACUGCGUACCUUUUGUAUAAUGGGUCAGCGACUUAUAUUCUGUAGCAAGGUUAACCGAAUAGGGGAGCCGUAGGGAAACCGAGUCUUAACUGGGCGUUAAGUUGCAGGGUAUAGACCCGAAACCCGGUGAUCUAGCCAUGGGCAGGUUGAAGGUUGGGUAACACUAACUGGAGGACCGAACCGACUAAUGUUGAAAAAUUAGCGGAUGACCUGUGGCUGGGGGUGAAAGGCCAAUCAAACCGGGAGAUAGCUGGUUCUCCCCGAAAGCUAUUUAGGUAGCGCCUCGUGAAUUCAUCUCCGGGGGUAGAGCACUGUUUCGGCUAGGGGGCCAUCCCGGCUUACCAACCCGAUGCAAACUGCGAAUACCGGAGAAUGUUAUCACGGGAGACACACGGCGGGUGCUAACGUCCGUCGUGAAGAGGGAAACAACCCAGACCGCCAGCUAAGGUCCCAAAGUCAUGGUUAAGUGGGAAACGAUGUGGGAAGGCCCAGACAGCCAGGAUGUUGGCUUAGAAGCAGCCAUCAUUUAAAGAAAGCGUAAUAGCUCACUGGUCGAGUCGGCCUGCGCGGAAGAUGUAACGGGGCUAAACCAUGCACCGAAGCUGCGGCAGCGACGCUGAUGCGUUGUUGGGUAGGGGAGCGUUCUGUAAGCCUGCGAAGGUGGCCUGUGAGGGUUGCUGGAGGUAUCAGAAGUGCGAAUGCUGACAUAAGUAACGAUAAAGCGGGUGAAAAGCCCGCUCGCCGGAAGACCAAGGGUUCCUGUCCAACGUUAAUCGGGGCAGGGUGAGUCGACCCCUAAGGCGAGGCCGAAAGGCGUAGUCGAUGGGAAACGGGUUAAUAUUCCCGUACUUGGUGUUACUGCGAAGGGGGGACGGAGAAGGCUAUGUUGGCCGGGCGACGGUUGUCCCGGUUUAAGCGUGUAGGUGUGUGUUCCAGGUAAAUCCGGUUCACUUUAACACUGAGGCGUGACGACGAGGCACUACGGUGCUGAAGCAACAAAUGCCCUGCUUCCAGGAAAAGCCUCUAAGCAUCAGGUAACAUCAAAUCGUACCCCAAACCGACACAGGUGGUCAGGUAGAGAAUACCAAGGCGCUUGAGAGAACUCGGGUGAAGGAACUAGGCAAAAUGGUGCCGUAACUUCGGGAGAAGGCACGCUGACACGUAGGUGAAGUGAUUUACUCAUGGAGCUGAAGUCAGUCGAAGAUACCAGCUGGCUGCAACUGUUUAUUAAAAACACAGCACUGUGCAAACACGAAAGUGGACGUAUACGGUGUGACGCCUGCCCGGUGCCGGAAGGUUAAUUGAUGGGGUCAGCGCAAGCGAAGCUCCUGAUCGAAGCCCCGGUAAACGGCGGCCGUAACUAUAACGGUCCUAAGGUAGCGAAAUUCCUUGUCGGGUAAGUUCCGACCUGCACGAAUGGCGUAAUGAUGGCCAGGCUGUCUCCACCCGAGACUCAGUGAAAUUGAACUCGCUGUGAAGAUGCAGUGUACCCGCGGCAAGACGGAAAGACCCCGUGAACCUUUACUAUAGCUUGACACUGAACAUUGAGCCUUGAUGUGUAGGAUAGG